GACGAACGCUGGCGGCGUGCUUAACACAUGCAAGUCGAGCGAACAAAGCUCCUUCGGGAGUGGAGUUAGCGGCGGACGGGUGAGUAACACGUGGGUAACCUGCCUUAUAGAGGGGGAUAGCCUUCCGAAAGGAAGAUUAAUACCGCAUAAGAAGUAGAAGUCGCAUGGCUUUAGCUUUAAAGGAGCAAUCCGCUAUAAGAUGGACCCGCGGCGCAUUAGCUAGUUGGUGAGGUAACGGCUCACCAAGGCGACGAUGCGUAGCCGACCUGAGAGGGUGAUCGGCCACAUUGGAACUGAGACACGGUCCAGACUCCUACGGGAGGCAGCAGUGGGGAAUAUUGCACAAUGGGCGAAAGCCUGAUGCAGCAACGCCGCGUGGGUGAUGAAGGUUUUCGGAUCGUAAAGCCCUGUCUUUUGGGACGAUAAUGACGGUACCAAAGGAGGAAGCCACGGCUAACUACGUG
rnacentral:rRNA from 1 species